rnacentral:lncRNA from 1 species
UCAGAGUGUGAGUAACCAACUAUCUUUUUUGUGAUAAGCGUCCCCUGAUCUCUUGUCCUCAUCAUACCUAAAAAAACAAAAUCCUGGGCACAUUUUAAAACACCUUUAGUUGCUGGGUGGUAGAAAGGUCUAAGGCACACGAGGGGCAGGUUUGAGUGGUUGGGAUGGGGAGGUGGAGGCAUUGGGUAGGGGACUUGGGGUGCCAGAGAGUUACGUCUGGUAGGAAUACAGUAAAUAGUGACUGGAAAAUCAUCCCUGAGUAUAAUCCUUCAUUGAGUGGUGACACAGCUGUGCCUGAUAAUUAAUUAGGAGUAAAGCUGGGAGUACAACUUGCCAAGACUUUCUUGUCAGACUGCCCUUUUUAGAGAAAAGACUGCAUCCUUUAAGCCCAUCCAGUCUCCUCAGAAGAGGAGAGCUCUUAGUAAGUUUCCAAAACCAUGAUAGAAGCAGCUAGAACUAGGUGCUGAUGAAAAGCCAAUAAAGGGGGGUAUGAAUGUUGGUUAUCUUCUCCAGGAACUAAAUUUUUAUUUCUAUUUUUGUCUUUUUAGGGCUACGCCCAUGACUUAUGGAAGUUCCUAGGCUAGGGGUCGAAAUGGAGCUGUAGCUGCUGGUCUGUACCACAACCACAGCAACACAGGAUCUGAGCCUCAUCUGUGACCUAUACCACAGCUCAACAGCAAUGCCACAUCCUUAACCCACUGAGUGAGGCCAGGGAUCAAACCUGCUGUCUUCAUGGAUACUAGUCAGAUUCCUUUCUGCUAAGCCACAAUGGGAACUCCUGGAACUAAAAAUUUGGUUGGGAAUUAAAUACAUGGUGGGUAUGUACACACAGAUUACAGAUUAAGAGACAUGCAGUUAACCAGAGCCGCAGGAGCACGGGUCCUGAGGCUGAGAAGCUGGAGAUAGGAUCCAAGCUAGUUCCCGAAAUGUGGGCAACACUUGGAAAGAGAGGAGGGCAAAGGGCUUCUCAGCAGGGAACAAUAGCCAGGUUGAAUGAAGCUAAGGAGAUAUGUGCUCAGGGAAACAAUGCUUAAGUCAGUUUGGGCAAAGAAAAAGUUACUGGAGAUAAGUUGGAGAGGCACAGUGUGGAGGGCUUUGAUGAAAGUGAUGAUUGAAGGAGCUGAGCUGGUGGUAGAGGCUGUGUCUGGUGCAUCACAGGCCCUGAAACAAUAUUCUUCUGGCCAAUGAAGUGCAAUCUUUAUGCACAAAUGCCAACGACAAUGGGAAUUUCCCUUCAUGCUAGUUUUCCUUCAUACUUGUAAGAAGGCCUUCUUCUAUUAUUUCUGCAGCCUUUAAAAUCCCAUUUGAUCUGAAUAGCCAGCCGUUUUCCAUAUAACUGGAUGACAAGCGUUGACUUUCCUGAAGGGGUGUUGGCUUAUACCAGAUUGUAAGAGUAGAGUGUUAACAUUUUUAGGAAUUUUGCAAGCUGGUUGUCAAAUAUAGCCAUUAUUAAAAAUUAAAUUACGUAUACUUGCACUUAAGUAAGUCGUAAGUUAACAAAGUUAAAAAUACUAAAAACUCUUCACCUUCUAAUUGUUUUAGCAACAUUUAAUAUUAUCUAUCUUUUGAGGUUAUUUGAAUCUACUGUAUUUACACAGUGGAAAUAUCAUUUCGCAGUGGGCUUACUUACUGUGCAUUGACUGCCAACUCAGUGUUCAGUGAUUCCAUGGUAGCAGCUUGAAAUUGGUUAUGACAGGAGCAUCUACACCAUAGAAAUCAUCAGAUGCUACAACUCAGAGAUUUUUACUCCUCUCCUUCCACUUUCCCCAGCCCAGUUGUUAAAUAUUAUCAGCAUACCACUAAUUUCUUCUCACUCCUCAUUGCCAGGCUGCCACACACAGUUCACUCCCCGGUCCCACUUUGGAGCAAUUGGGAACUCCAGCAUCUUGAUCUGUCUUUUGGGGCUGCUUAAUGUGGACAGGACUGGUUUUAGUGAACAUUGUAAGAAUUCAUCAGCCCCCUCCUCAGGACUCUAUCUACAGCUCUCUGUACAACCAGAAGAGAUAAUUGAGUUCAAGGAGACUUGAAAGGGCUUGUCCAAAGUAAAACUCUAAAGUGGGCAUCCCUUUUCUCUUUCAAGGUUUGCUAAUCCCCGUGGAGAACACCAUGAACACAACGUAGGCACAGACACACAUCCAUGUACACCCACACAUAGAAAAAUAAAUUUAUAUUUUAGAGUAAAAAUAGAAAAUGUCCAAAGCACCCACUUUAAACAGUAAAACAGAGUUCUCAAAGCAAGCAAUAACAAUUUAUCUUUGGACUUGAUUUUAUAGCCUCUGAAUGGCAAGGGAUGGGAGGAGUUAGGGGGGGCAGGAAAUGAGACUGAGGUAGAGAAUGAGAAAAGAGAAAGGAGGAGUUCCCGUUGUGAUGUAGUGGAAACAAAUCUGACUAGUAACCAUGAAGGUGGCGGUUCAGUCCCUGGCCUCACUAAGUGGGUUAAAGAUCCGGUGUUACCUUGAGCUGUGGUGUAGGUUGAAGAUCGGCUUGGAUCCUGCGUUGCUGUGGCUGUGGUGUAGGCCAGUGGCUGUAGCUCUGAUUUGACCCCUAGUCUGGGAUUCUCCAUAUGCUGUGGGUGUGGCCCUAAAAAGCAAAGAAAAGAAAAAAAGAAAAGAGAAGGAAAGGAAAGGGGCAGAAAAAGAGGAAAAUGAUGAGAAGAAAAAAAUGUGUAGAGAGGGAAAAUAUGGAAAGGACAGGUAGGAGAGAAAGUGGUUCAUGGGAUGAAGAAUGAGGAGCCUGCUGGGUGUCCAUUUAAAGUUAUAAAAUAUUGGCUGUAUUCACUGUAUUGUACAAUAUAUUCUUGUAGCUUAUUUAUUUUAUACAUAGUAUUUUGUACCUCUUAAUCCCCUUCCUCUUUUGAGCCCUGCACCUUUUCCCGGUAGCCACCGGUUUGUUCUCUGUCUGUGUAAGUCUGUAUCUGUUGCGAGACAUGUUUCCCUAAUUUUCUGCCUUGAUUGUUGAGAGACAUGUUUCUCUGAUUUUCCUUGAUUACCCUCCAAUAGCCCCUCCUCACGUGAUCUCAUUUUAAGAAACACAAUAAAAGCAGUGUGGUUUCUGGAGGCGGGGCUUUUGGUUCCUGAGACCUUGAGUCUCCAGGGAUCCCACCUUUACUCUCUCUCUGUGUCUUGAUAUUUUUGUCUUGCUGUUUUGUUAUUUAUUCCUUAAGUUCUGUAGUAUCUGUUCUUCAGCCCCAUCCUGCUGAGCUGGCCUCGGCAAGUGGCGCCCAAUGUGGGGCGGGUAAACAGGUAGGCACGAGGAACGAAGGGCCGUGAGUACAGCGGUAUUUCGUGGAAGUGCUAUGGAGCCCUGAGAAGAAGGGAGGAAUUUUGCGUGGCCAC